ACCAGCAGUCUUUUCACCCUGCAACACACAUCUGGCAACCCAAUGAAGCUAAGAAGGUGUGAGCCUGGCCAGUACCUAGAUGGGAGACUUCCUGAGAAAAACUAAGGUUGCUGUUGGAA
rnacentral:rRNA from 1 species